GAUGGUUCAAGCAGCUACGCUCACCUGGCAUUGUGGGCUGGAGAAGCAGCUGCCUGUGAUCCUUCCACCGUAAGGAGCCAGAGAUUAUCGCUGCUCUGUGAAACCAGCCUCACGCAAAUCGGAAGAGCAAAC